rnacentral:rRNA from 1 species
AUUGAACGCUGGCGGCAGGCCUAACACAUGCAAGUCGAGCGAGCGGCGGACGGGUGAGUAAUUUAUGGGUACUGCCCGAUGGAGUGGGCUAACUACUGGAAACGGUAGCUAAUACCGCAUCCUAUCGGAUAACCCAUAUGGGAUUCGCUAGUAGGGGAGGUAAUGGCUCACCUAGGCGACGAUCCCUAGCUGUUCUGAGAGGAUGAUCAGCCACAUGGGGAAUAAGACACGGACCAGACUCCUACGGAGGCAGCAGUGGGGAAUAUUGCACAAUGGGCGCAAGCCUGAUGAAGCCAUGCCGCGUGUAUGAAGAAGGCCCUAGGGUUGUAAAGUACUUUCAGUCGGGAGGCGUUACCGACAGAAGAAGGACCGGCUAACUCCGUGCCAGCAGCCGCGGUAAUAC